AUUGAACGCUGGCGGCAGGCUUAACACAUGCAAGUCGAACGAGUGGCGGACGGGUGAGUAAUGCUUGGGAAUCUAGCUUAUGAAGGGGGAUAACUACGGGAAACUGUAGCUAAUACCGCGUACCAUAGGAUGAGCCCAAGUGGGAUUAGGUAGUUGGUGAGGUAAAGGCUCACCAAGCCGACGAUCUCUAGCUGGUCUGAGAGGAGGACCAGCCCACCGGGGACUGGGACACGGCCCAGACGCCUACGGGAGGCAGCAGUGGGGAAUAUUGCGCAAGGGGGGAAGCCGGACGCAGCCAGGCCGCGUGAAUGAAGAAGGCCUUCGGUUUGGAAAGUUCUUUCGGUAGCGAGGCGUUAACUACAGAAGAAGCACCGGCUAACUCCGUGCCAGCAGCCGCGGUAAUUC
rnacentral:rRNA from 1 species